UUCGGUCCCUGAGUACAGUGGCGCACGGGUGCGUAACACGUAAGUAAUCUACCCCAAACUCUGGGAUAACCCUCCGAAAGGAGGGCUAACACUGGAUAGGGUCCCCGAGGUGUAGGCCGCGGGGGGAAAGUGGGCCUCUGAUAUAUGCUCACGGUCUGGGAUGAGCUUGCGGCCCAUUAGCUUGUUGGUAAGGUAAUGGCUUACCAAGGCGACGAUGGGUAGCUGGUCUGAGAGGAUGAUCAGCCACACUGGCACUGAGACACGGGCCAGACUCCUACGGGAGGCAGCAGUGGGGAAUUUUGCGCAAUGGGCGAAAGCCUGACGCAGUAACGCCGCGUGGAGGAUGAAGGCCUUCGGGUUGUAAACUCCUGUCAGGGGGAACGACGAGGCAAGGAUGAUAAACCCUUGCCUUCAGACGGUACCUCCAAAGGAAGCCCCGGCUAAUUCCGUGCCAGCAGCCGCGGUAAUACGGAAGGGGCGAGCGUUGUUCGGAAUCAUUGGGCGUAAAGGGCGCGUAGGUGGUUCUGUAUGUCUACUGUGAAAGCGUACAGCUCAACUGUAUUUUGUCGGUAGAAACUGCAGGACUUGAGGCUGGGAGGGGCUGGUGGAAUUCCCUGUGUAGCGGUGAAAUGCGUAGAGAUGGGGGAGAACACUCGUGGCGAAGGCGGCCAGCUAGACCAGUUCUGACACUG
rnacentral:rRNA from 1 species